GAUGAACGCUGGCGGCGUGCCUAAUACAUGCAAGUCGAGCGAACAGAUGAGGAGCUUGCUCCUCUGACGUUAGCGGCGGACGGGUGAGUAACACGUGGAUAACCUACCUAUAAGACUGGGAUAACUUCGGGAAACCGGAGCUAAUACCGGAUAAUUUAUUGAACCGCAUGGUUCAAUAGUGGAAGACGGUUUUGCUGUCACUUAUAGAUGGAUCCGCGCCGCAUUAGCUAGUUGGUAAGUGAACGGCUUACCAAGGCAACGAUGCGUAGCCGACCUGAGAGGGUGAUCGGCCACACUGGAACUGAGACACGGUCCAGACUCCUACGGGAGGCAGCAGUAGGGAAUCUUCCGCAAUGGGCGAAAGCCUGACGGAGCAACGCCGCGUGAGUGAUGAAGGUCUUCGGAUCGUAAAACUCUGUUAUUAGGGAAGAACAAAUGUGUAAGUAACUAUGCACGUCUUGACGGUACCUAAUCAGAAAGCCACGGCUAACUACGUG
rnacentral:rRNA from 1 species